rnacentral:rRNA from 1 species
GGAACGAAAAGCCAUUUCCUAAUACGGGGUGGUCAUGACGGUACCGUCAGAAUAAGCACCGGCUAACUACGUGCCAGCAGCCGCGGUAAUACGUAGGGUGCAAGCGUUAAUCGGAAUUACUGGGCGUAAAGCGUGCGCAGGCGGUGAUGUAAGACAGAUGUGAAAUCCCCGGGCUCAACCUGGGAACUGCAUUUGUGACUGCAUCGCUGGAGUACGGCAGAGGGGGAUGGAAUUCCGCGUGUAGCAGUGAAAUGCGUAGAUAUGCGGAGGAACACCGAUGGCGAAGGCAAUCCCCUGGGCCUGUACUGACGCUCAUGCACGAAAGCGUGGGGAGCAAACAGGAUUAGAUACCCUGGUAGUCC